AUUGAACGCUGGCGGCAGGCCUAACACAUGCAAGUCGAGCGGCUGAAGGGAGCCUGCCCCUGGAUUCAGCGGCGGACGGGUGAGUAAUGUCUAGGAAUCUGCCUCGUAGUGGGGGAUAACGUCCGGAGACGGGCGCUAAUAUCGCAUACGCCCUGAGGGAGAAAGAGGGGGAUCUUCGGACCUCUCGCUAUCAGAUGAGCCUAGGUCGGAUUAGCUAGUUGGUGGGGUAAAGGCCUACCAAGGCGACGAUCCGUAACUGGUCUGAGAGGAUGAUCAGUCACACUGGAACUGAGACACGGUCCAGACUCCUACGGGAGGCAGCAGUGGGGAAUAUUGGACAAUGGGCGAAAGCCUGAUCCAGCAAUGCCGCGUGUGUGAAGAAGGUCUUCGGAUUGUAAAGCACUUUAAGUUGGAAGGAAAGGCAGUAAGUUAAUACCUUGGUGUUUUGACGUUACCAACAGAAUAAGCACCGGCUAACUUCGUG
rnacentral:rRNA from 1 species